rnacentral:lncRNA from 1 species
CAUUUCCUCACUAUUUCAUUAACCCUCUAAACUUCUUCUUUUCUUCCCUUAAAAAAAAAUCUUAUUUUCUAUACUUAUUCACCUAAAAACCUUUUGUUUUAGCAAUGUCUGGUUCAAACAAGAACACCAAAGGAAAUAAGUUCCCCGGCAUGCAAGACGUUUUCGGUACAAGGCCACCCCAUAGAGAGAGCACUGGUGAUGCCAAUAACAAAACCAAAGGUACUAAGUUCCCAAGACUUCAGGAUAUUAUGUUCACUACAAGGCCUGGGACACGUGGAACUUGAUGAGCACACGGCACCAUUUUCCACUUUCACUAUGCUUUCUUUAAUUUUCAUGUAUGAUCAAGGUUCUCUUUUGAACUUUGAAGUGUCCCCUUUUCUUUUUGUAUUAAUUCCAUAGUUUUAUGUUAGUUUCGCUUCUUUGUUUUAGCCUUUGUUUAUGUUAAGGGAUACCUGUGUUUUUGUGACCUUUUAUAUUUCGUUAUGUUAAGGGACUUUUGCUAAGUUACGUUGUAUUUUCUUUCUGGUUAUUUGUUGUUCUUCUUUGCAGAGAUAGAAUAUUUUGUGUAUGAGUCUUAAUUAGCACUUAUUGUCCAUUCCCAUCUAUCUCUUUUCACUCUCACUUGCU